UACAGAGGGUGCGAGCGUUAAUCGGAAUUACUGGGCGUAAAGCGCGCGUAGGCGGCUUUGUAAGCCAGAUGUGAAAGCCCCGGGCUCAACCUGGGAAUGGCAUUUGGGACUGCAAGGCUGGAGUAUGGCAGAGGAGACUAGAAUUCCUGGUGUAGCAGUGAAAUGCGUAGAUAUCAGGAGGAAUACCGAUGGCGAAGGCAGGUCUCUGGGCCAAUACUGACGCUCAUGCACGAAAGCGUGGGGAGCAAACAGG
rnacentral:rRNA from 1 species